rnacentral:rRNA from 1 species
AGUUUGAUACUGGCUCAGAUUGAACGCUGGCGGCAUGCCUAACACACGCAAGUCGAACGGAAACGAUGGGAGCUUGCUCCCAGGCGUCGAGUGGCGGACGGGGGAGUAAUACUCAGGAAUCUACCCAGUAGUGGGGGACAACACGACGAAAGUCGUGCUAAUACCGCAUACGCCCUAAGGGGGAAAGUGGAGGAUCUUCGGACUUCACGCUAUUGGAUGAGCCUAAGUCGGAUUAGCUUUUUGGGGAGGUAAUGGCUCACCAAGGCGACGAUCCGUAGCUGGUCUGAGAGGACGAUCAGCCACACUGGGACUGAGACACGGCCCAGACUCCUACGGGAGGCAGCAGUGGGGAAUAUUGGACAAUGGGGGCAACCCUGAUCCAGCAAUACCGCGUGUGUGAAGAAGGCCUGCGGGUUUUAAAGCACUUUCAGUAGAGAAGAAAAGCUUAGGGUUAAUACCCCUGAGUCUCGACGUAACCUACAGAAGAAGCACCGGCUAACUCCGUGCCAGCAGCCGCGGUAAUACGGGGGGGGCAAGCGUUAAUCGGAAUUACUGGGCGUAAAGCGCGCGUAGGCGGUCUGGUCAGUCGGAUGUGAAAGCCCUGGGCUCAACCUGGGAAUGGCAUUCGAUACUGCCCGACUAGAAUAUGGAAGAGGGAAGUGGAAUUUCCGGGGUAGCGGGGAAAUGCGUAGAUAUCGGAAGGAACACCAGUGGCGAAGGCGGCUUCCUGGUCCAAUAUUG